AGAGUUUGAUCCUGGCUCAGGAUGAACGCUGGCGGCGUGCUUAACACAUGCAAGUCGAACGGACACUAUGACAAAGCUUGCUUUGAUAUAGGGUUAGUGGCGAAAGGGUGAGUAAUGCGUAAGCAACCUGCCUUAUACAGGGGAAUAACAGCGGGAAACCGUUGCUAAUACCGCAUAAUAUCCGGGUAUGGCAUCAUACCUGGAUCAAAGGAGUAAUCCGGUAUAAGAUGGGCUUGCGUCCGAUUAGCUAGUUGGUGGGGUAACGGCCUACCAAGGCGACGAUCGGUAGCCGAACUGAGAGGUUGAUCGGCCACAUUGGGACUGAGACACGGCCCAGACUCCUACGGGGGGCAGCAGUGGGGAAUAUUGCACAAUGGACGARAGUCUGAUGCAGCAACGCCGCGUGAAGGAAGAAGGUCUUCGGAUUGUAAACUUCUUUGAUCAGGGAAGAAUAAUGACAGUACCUGAGGAACAAGCCACGGCUAACUACGUGCCAGCAGCCGCGGUAAUACGUAGGUGGCAAGCGUUAUCCGGAAUUACUGGGUGUAAAGGGCGCGUAGGCGGGAUCACAAGUCAGUUGUGAAAUACACAGGCUCAACCUGUGGGCUGCAACUGAAACUGUGAUUCUUGAGUGUCGGAGAGGAAAGUGGAAUUCCCCGUGUAGCGGUGAAAUGCGUAGAUAUGGGGAGGAACACCGGUGGCGAAGGCGACUUUCUGGACGAUAACUGACGCUGAGGCGCGAAAGCGUGGGUAGCAAACAGGAUUAAAUACCCUGGUAGUCCACGCUGUAAACGAUGGAUACUAGGUGUGGGAGGUAUCGACCCCUUCCGUGCCGAAGUUAACACAAUAAGUAAUCCACCUGGGGAGUACGGCCGCAAGGCUGAAACUCAAAGGAAUUGACGGGGGCCCGCACAAGCAGUGGAUUAUGUGGAUUAAUUCKAUGCAACGCGAAGAACCUUACCAGGUCUUGACAUCGAGUGACCGGCUAAGAGAUUAGCCUUUCCUUCGGGACACAAAGACAGGUGGUGCAUGGUUGUCGUCAGCUCGUGUCGUGAGAUGUUGGGUUAAGUCCCGCAACGAGCGCAGCCCCUGCCAUUAGUUGCUACGCAAGAGCACUCUAAUGGGACCGCUACCGACAAGGUGGAGGAAGGUGGGGACGACGUCAAAUCAUCAUGCCCCUUAUGACCUGGGCUUCACACGUAAUACAAUGGCCGUUAACAACGGGAAGCAAUACCGCGAGGUGGAGCAAAACCCCAAAAACGGUCUCAGUUCGGAUUGUAGGCUGCAACCCGCCUACAUGAAGUUGGAAUUGCUAGUAAUCGCGGAUCAGCAUGCCGCGGUGAAUACGUUCCCGGGCCUUGUACACACCGCCCGUCACACCAUGGGAGUUUGUAACACCCGAAGUCAGUAGCCUAACCGCAAGGAGGGCGCUGCCGAAGGUGGGAUAAGCGACUGGGGUGAAGUCGUAACAAGGUAGCCGUA
rnacentral:rRNA from 1 species